UACGUAGGGGGCAAGCGUUGUCCGGAUUUAUUGGGCGUAAAGAGCGUGUAGGCGGUUUGGUAGGUCCGCUGUGAAAACCCGAGGCUCAACCUCGGGCCUGCAGUCGAUACGGGCAGACUAGAGUGCUGUAGGGGAGACUGGAAUUCCUGGUGUAGCGGUGAAAUGCGCAGAUAUCAGGAGGAACACCGGUGGCGAAGGCGGGUCUCUGGGCAGUAACUGACGCUGAGGAGCGAAAGCGUGGGGAGCGAACAGG
rnacentral:rRNA from 1 species